rnacentral:rRNA from 1 species
UCAGACGAUGCGUCAUGCAUAUCAAUAAGCGGAGGAAAAGAAACUAACAAGGAUUCCCCUAGUAACGGCGAGUGAAGCGGGAAGAGCUCAAAUUUGAAAUCUUAAAGGGUUUCCCUUUACGAAUUGUAGUUUAAAGAAGUGUUUUCUGUUGAGGUUUUGGUAAAAGUUCUUUGGAAUAGGACAUCAUAGAGGGUGAGAAUCCCGUAUUUGACCUUUACUUUCAACUUUGUGAUACACUUUCAAAGAGUCGGAUUGUUUGGGAAUGCAGUCCAAAAUGGGUGGUAAAUUUCAUCUAAAGCUAAAUAUUGGCGAGAGACCGAUAGCGAACAAGUACCGCGAGGGAAAGAUGAAAAGAACUUUGAAAGGAGAGUUAAACAGUACGUGAAAUUGUCAAAAGGGAAGCGUUUGACACCAGUGUUGUUUUUCUGAAAAUCAAUUAAAGAACUGUUUAUGCUAAGUUGUUUAGACUUUAUCAGCUAUCUGUUUAGUUUUGAGCUUUUCUUUAAUGCACUUUUCAGUUAACAAGUCAACAUCAAUUUCUUUUGCUGUAAAAAAGCUUGAGGAAGGUGGCUUGAGAUUCGUCUUAAGUGUUUAUAGCCUCUUGCCUAUGCAGUCGGAGAGAUUGAGGUCUGCAGCGUAGAUCCUUCGGGGCUAAAUGCAUUUGUGCUAAGUUAUAGCAUUUUAUAGACAACUUGUUGACUAUGAUUUGUCUUGUAGCUUACUCGCUUAUGUUAUUUUACCUACGCUUAGGAUGUUGACACACGCGCGUGCUCG